AUAAAAGCGACACCACCUGCGCAUUUUAGAACUCAACUGCAAACCGCAACUUCAUACGCUACCGGCGCUUCUUAGAGCAUUAAGAGCCCGAGGGCCGGGUGUAUACACCGACCGCCUAUCUUCCCCUGAUUUCAAAUUACAGAAGAACCGGAGCUUCAUAACCUUGGAUUGCUGCUCUUAUCUGUUCCGGUGACGACGUCCGAUCAAAACCCUAAAGUCUAAAUCAAUUUUCCCGCCGAUCUAUCUAUUGGGAGAUGGACAGCAUUAAGUGAAUGCCUAAGGCUAAUUGGAGUUCGGGGAGCAUUAAGCGAAUGCCUGAGGCUAUUUGGAGUUCAAUUCAGUCAGGGGUUAUCUUGUACCAUUUCCCAAGGAUUGUUGAGGAGUUGGUUUCAACAGUCUCAAUGCUGGUGCCACCAAGGUGUACUAAUUUACCCUUUCAAAGUUUCAAUGUUCUUUAUGACUUUACUAGCCUACUAGGUAUUGAAUGGUAAGAUGUGGAGUUGUUCUUGAAGGCCCCACUCGCACAACUCUAAAAAAAUUAAGUAGUUUAAUUAAAAGAAAUUAUGAUUUGUAGUAUAUGAAUGAAGACACUCAAUUGGACAGACUUUCGUAAACACCCUCACUGGUAUAUGUUGCUAUAGGCAGUGGGACCUGCUAUGUUAAGGUGGAUGACAACGCUGAGUAUUAGUUUCUUUGACAUUAAUCUAUGCAUUUUGAUGUGCAGAAAGUCCUGCUCAAUUUAUUAUUUUACUUCAUCAUCUGAAGUUGUACUUUCUUUUGAAGGAUCUUGUGUUUCACGAGAUGGACUGGUGCUGAUGGGAGAAAUAUAUGGUAAUCUUUUUGCAAAGUGUUGUACUGACAUCAUCUUUUCUAUUGUAUUGAUGCUGCUGUACAUAAUUUUUUUUGCCUGACACUAUGAUGUUCAUAACUUGGAAUGAUUGUUGCAGUCUAUAGGAUUAUUGCAUGCAUUACUCAACUGAUAGGCUGUUU